GUGACCAACAUGAAUGCACGUGUGUGUGUGUGUGUGUGUGUGUGUGUGUGCGCGCGCGCGUGCAUGCACGCAGGCAGACACACAGAGACCUGCAGUC
rnacentral:miRNA from 1 species